rnacentral:rRNA from 1 species
UGCAAGUCGAACGAAGCUACUUGGUUAGCUUGCUAACCGGGUAGACUUAGUGGCGGACGGGUGAGUAACACGUGGGUAACCUACCUGGGAGACCGGGAUAACAGCUCGAAAGGGCUGCUAAUACCGGAUGAAGUAUGAGUAAUUAGAUUUACUUGUACCAAAGGCGUUAAGUAGUGCUCCUGGAUGGGCCCGCGGCUCAUUAGCUAGUUGGUAGGGUAAAGGCUUACCAAGGCGAUGAUGGGUAGCCGGUCUGAGAGGAUGGUCGGCCACACUGGGACUGAGACACGGCCCAGACUCCUACGGGAGGCAGCAGUGGGGAAUAUUGCGCAAUGGGGGCAACCCUGACGCNGCGACGCCGCGUGAGUGAAGAAGGCCUU